UAGGGAAUCUUCGGCAAUGGACGAAAGUCUGACCGAGCAACGCCGCGUGAGUGAAGAAGGUUUUCGGAUCGUAAAACUCUGUUGUUAGAGAAGAACAAGGACGUUAGUAACUGAAGGUCCCCUGACGGUAUCUAACCAGAAAGCCACGGCUAACUACGUGCCAGCAGCCGCGGUAAUACGUAGGUGGCAAGCGUUGUCCGGAUUUAUUGGGCGUAAAGCGAGCGCAGGCGGUUUCUUAAGUCUGAUGUGAAAGCCCCCGGCUCAACCGGGGAGGGUCAUUGGAAACUGGGAGACGUGAGUGCAGAAGAGGAGAGUGGAAUUCCAUGUGUAGCGGUGAAAUGCGUAGAUAUAUGGAGGAACACCAGUGGCGAAGGCGGCUCUCUGGUCUGUAACUGACGCUGAGGCUCGAAAGCGUGGGGAGCAAACAGG
rnacentral:rRNA from 1 species